UACGUAGGGUCCGAGCGUUGUCCGGAAUUAUUGGGCGUAAAGAGCUCGUAGGCGGUCUGUCACGUCGGCUGUGAAAUCCCGAGGCUCAACCUCGGGUCUGCAGUCGAUACGGGGCAAACUAGAGUAUUGCAGGGGGAGACUGGAAUUCCUGGUGUAGCGGUGAAAUGCGCAGAUAUCAGGAGGAACACCGGUGGCGAAGGCGGGGUCUCUGGGCAGUAACUGACGCUGAGGAGCGAAAAGCGUGGGGGAGCGAACAGG
rnacentral:rRNA from 1 species